AAACUACUCCCUCCAUCCCAAAAUUCUUGUCUUAUAUUUGUCUAGAUGUGAAUGUACCUAAUACUAAAACGUGACUUGAUACAUCCGUAUUUAGACAAAUCUAAGGCAAGAAUUUUGGGACGGAGGGAGUAUGUA
rfam:Triticum aestivum genome assembly, contig: Triticum_aestivum_CS42_TGACv1_scaffold_603106_7DL